rnacentral:rRNA from 1 species
UCAGACGAUGCGUCAUGCAUAUCAAUAAGCGGAGGAAAAGAAACUAACAAGGAUUCCCCUAGUAACGGCGAGUGAAGCGGGAAGAGCUCAAAUUUGAAAUCUUAAAGGGUUUCCCUUUACGAAUUGUAGUUUAAAGAAGUGUUUUCUGUUGAGGUUUUGGUAAAAGUUCUUUGGAAUAGGACAUCAUAGAGGGUGAGAAUCCCGUAUUUGACCUUUACUUUCAACUUUGUGAUACACUUUCAAAGAGUCGGAUUGUUUGGGAAUGCAGUCCAAAAUGGGUGGUAAAUUUCAUCUAAAGCUAAAUAUUGGCGAGAGACCGGAUAGCGAACAAGUACCGUGAGGGAAAGAUGAAAAGAACUUUGAAAAGAGAGUUAAACAGUACGUGAAAUUGUCAAAAGGGAAGCGUUUGACACCAGUGUUGUUUUUCUGAAAAUCAAUUAAAGAACUGUUUAUGCUAAGUUGUUUAGACUUUAUCAGCUAACUGUUUAGUUUUGAGCUUUUCUUUAAUGCACUUUUCAGUUAACAAGUCAACAUCAAUUUCUUUUGCUGUAAAAAAGCUUGAGGAAGGUGGCUUGAGAUUCGUCUUAAGUGUUUAUAGCCUCUUGCCUAUGCAGUCGGAGAGAUUGAGGUCUGCAGCGUAGAUCCUUCGGGGCUAAAUGCAUUUGUGCUAAGUUAUAGCAUUUUAUAGACAACUUGUUGACUAUGAUUUGUCUUGUAGCUUACUCGCUUAUGUUAUUUUACCUACGCUUAGGAUGUUGAAUCUGUGCGAGACUAC